rnacentral:rRNA from 1 species
AUGAACGCUAGCGACAGGCCUAACACAUGCAAGUCGAGGGGCAGCACAAGGAGCAAUCUGAGGUGGCGACCGGCGCACGGGUGAGUAACACGUAUGCAACCUGCCUGUAAGCGGGGAAUAACCCGUUGAAAGACGGACUAAUACCGCAUAAUACUAAAUUACUGCAUGGUAAUUUAUUUAAACAUUUAUGGCUUACAGAUGGGCAUGCGCAUGAUUAGCUAGUUGGAGAGGUAACGGCUCCCCAAGGCAACGAUCAUUAGGGGUUCUGAGAGGAAGGUCCCCCACACUGGUACUGAGACACGGACCAGACUCCUACGGGAGGCAGCAGUGAGGAAUAUUGGUCAAUGGACGAGAGUCUGAACCAGCCAAGUCGCGUGCAGGAAGAAUGUUCCCUAUGGAUUGUAAACUGCUUUUGCAGGGGAAUAAAGUGCAUCACGUGUGAUGUUUUGUAUGUACUCUGCGAAUAAGGACUCGGCUAACUCCGUGCCAGCCGCCGC